UACGGAGGGUGCAAGCGUUAUCCGGAAUUAUUGGGCGUAAAGAGCUCGUAGGCGGUUUGUUGCGUCGGCUGUGAAAUCCCGAGGCUCAACCUCGGGUCUGCAGUCGAUACGAGCAAACUAGAGUGUUGCAGGGGAGACUGGAAUUCCUGGUGUAGCGGUGAAAUGCGCAGAUAUCAGGAGGAACACCGGUGGCGAAGGCGGGUCUCUGGGCAACAACUGACGCUGAGGAGCGAAAGCGUGGGGAGCGAACAGG
rnacentral:rRNA from 1 species